rnacentral:rRNA from 1 species
AUGAACGCUGGCGGCGUGCCUAAUCCCUGCAAGUCGAACGCAUAGCGAAAGGUGCUUGCACCUUUCAAGUGAGUGGCGAACGGGUGAGUAACACGUGGACAACCUGCCUCAAGGCUGGGGAUAACAUUUGGAAACAGAUGCUAAUACCGAAUAAAACUUAGUGUCGCAUGACACAAAGUUAAAAGGCGCUUCGGCGUCACCUAGAGAUGGAUCCGCGGUGCAUUAGUUAGUUGGUGGGGUAAAGGCCUACCAAGACAAUGAUGCAUAGCCGAGUUGAGAGACUGAUCGGCCACAUUGGGACUGAGACACGGCCCAAACUCCUACGGGAGGCUGCAGUAGGGAAUCUUCCACAAUGGGCGAAAGCCUGAUGGAGCAACGCCGCGUGUGUGAUGAAGGCUUUCGGGUCGUAAAGCACUGUUGUAUGGGAAGAACAGCUAGAAUAGGAAAUGAUUUUAGUUUGACGGUACCAUACCAGAAAGGGACGGCUAAAUACGUG